AUUGAACGCUGGCGGCAGGCCUAACACAUGCAAGUCGAACGAGUGGCGGACGGGUGAGUACUGUCUGGGAAACUGCCUGCUGGAGAGGGAUAAAUACUGGAAACGGUAGCUAAUACCGCAUACCAUCAGAUGUGCCCAGAUGGGCUGAGCUAGUUGGUGGGGUAACGGCACACCAAGGCGACGAUCCCUAGCUGGUCUGAGAGGAUGACCAGCAAGACUGGAACAGUGACACUUUCCAGACUCCUACGGUAGGCAGCAGUGGGGAUUAUUGCACAAUGGGCGCAAGCCUGAUGCAGCCAUGCCGCGUGUAUGAAGGAGGCCUUCGGGUUGUAAAGUACUUUCAGAGGGGAGGCGUUACCCGCAGAAGAGGCACCGGCUAACUCCGUGCCAGCAGCCGCGGUAAUAC
rnacentral:rRNA from 1 species